UGGGGAAUAUUGGACAAUGGGGGAAACCCUGAUCCAGCGACGCCGCGUGUGUGAAGAAGGCCUGCGGGUUGUAAAGCACUUUCGGUGGGAACGAAAUAUGCCGGGCUAAUACCCCGGUAGGCUGGCGUUACUCAAUGAAGAAGCACCGGCUAACUCUGUGCCAGCAGCCGCGGUAAUACAGAGGGUGCGAGCGUUAAUCGGAAUUACUGGGCGUAAAGCGCACGUAGGUGGCGACGUAAGUCGGGUGUGAAAGCCCCGGGCUCAACCUGGGAAUUGCAUUCGAGACUGCAUUGCUGGAGUACGGAAGAGGAGGGCGGAAUUCCCGGUGUAGCGGUGAAAUGCGUAGAGAUCGGGAGGAAGGCCGGUGGCGAAGGCGGCGCUCUGGAACGUUUCUGACGCUGAGGCUCGAAAGCGUGGGGAGCAAACAGGAUUAGAUACCCAAGUAGUCCCUGAGCGGGCUGGCAAGGCGCAU
rnacentral:rRNA from 1 species